GAGUUUGAUCCUGGCUCAGGAUGAACGCUAGCGGCAGGCUUAACACAUGCAAGUCGAGGGGUAACGGGGAAGCUUGCUUCCGCCGACGACCGGCGCACGGGUGCGUAACGCGUAUACAAUCUACCUUAUACUGGGGUAUAGCCUUUAGAAAUGAAGAUUAACCCCCCAUAGUCUCUUAGAGUGGCAUCACUUCUAGAGUAAAGGUUACGGUAUAAGAUGAGUAUGCGUUCUAUUAGUUUGUUGGUGUGGUAACGGCACACCAAGACUACGAUAGAUAGGGGCCCUGAGAGGGGGAUCCCCCACACUGGUACUGAGACACGGACCAGACUCCUACGGGAGGCAGCAGUGAGGAAUAUUGGACAAUGGAGGCAACUCUGAUCCAGCCAUGCCGCGUGCAGGAAGACUGCCCUAUGGGUUGUAAACUGCUUUUAUACAGGAAGAAACACCUCUACGUGUAGAGGCUUGACGGUACUGUAAGAAUAAGGAUCGGCUAACUCCGUGCCAGCAGCCGCGGUAAUACGGAGGAUCCAAGCGUUAUCCGGAAUCAUUGGGUUUAAAGGGUCCGUAGGUGGAUAAUUAAGUCAGAGGUGAAAUCUUGCAGCUCAACUGUAAAAUUGCCUUUGAAACUGGUUAUCUUGAGUUAUUAUGAAGUAGUUAGAAUAUGUAGUGUAGCGGUGAAAUGCAUAGAUAUUACAUAGAAUACCAAUUGCGAAGGCAGAUUACUAAUAAUCAACUGACACUGAUGGACGAAAGCGUGGGUAGCGAACAGGAUUAGAUACCCUGGUAGUCCACGCCGUAAACGAUGUCAACUAUCUGUUGGAAAGCAU
rnacentral:rRNA from 1 species